AUUGAACGCUGGCGGCAGGCCUAACACAUGCAAGUCGGACGGUAACGGGAAGAAGCUUGCUUCUUUGCCGACGAGUGGCGGACGGGUGAGUAAUGUCUGGGAAACUGCCCGAUGGAGGGGGAUAACCACUGGAAACGGUGGCUAAUACCGCAUAAUGUCUUCGGACCAAAGUGGGGGACCUCCGGGCCUCACACCAUCGGAUGUGCCCAGACGGGAUUAACUGGUAGGUGAGAUAAAGGCUCACCUAGGCGACGAUCCCUAGCUGGUCUGAGAGGAUGACGCGCGACACAGGGACUGAGCCGCGGUCCUGAGUCUUAGGGGAGGCAGCGGUGGGGACUAUUGGCAGCUGGGGGGAAGCCUGAUGCAGCCAUGGCGGGUGUAUGAAGAAGGCCUUCGUGUUGUAAAGUACUUUCCGCGGGGAGGACGGCAUGCGGUUUAAUACGCCUCGUCAUUGACGUUACCCGCAGAAGAAGCACCGGCUAACUCCGUG
rnacentral:rRNA from 1 species